UUGAAAGGGAAACGAUUGAAGUCAGUCGUUCUGACGGGAAAUCAACUUCUCGAGUGCCUGUCGUGAAUGACGUUGAGCUUCACGGCCUUCGUUGCUUACGUUAUGGUGCUUUUGAGGUGUACUUUCCGUAUGGUAGGUCAACAUCGAUUUUGAUCGUCAUAAAAUGAUCGGAGGAAUGUGGCUCUGAUCUCGUAUCGGAGUGUUAUAGCCUUUGGUAGAUGUGACGAUUGGGAUCGAGGAUUGCAACGAAUACCCUUUUGGGCUAUCCGUCUGACCUCUGAAAGUCGCUCGGGUGUUGAAAGCGUGCUUAUGACAUUCUAGUUGGCGGUCAAAAGGUUAGAACGUGAUUACAUUCGUUAAGGAUGUUGACGUA
rnacentral:rRNA from 1 species